ensembl:snoRNA Gm24730 predicted gene, 24730
CAUGCCCCAGAAGGUGUGGCUGCUAUGUCACAUGUCAGUAGGCGGGAGAGAGGAGAGAGGCUGCAUCUAUGCUGUGUUCUGACCUAGGGACAUGGGGAUGAUUAGUAACCCAACAUU